rnacentral:pre_miRNA from 1 species
AGUUUUGCAUGUUUGCUGUCGGCUUGUCAAAAUGUGCUGUGCAAAUCCAUGCAAAACUGA